rnacentral:rRNA from 1 species
AAGAGAGAGACAUGCGCGCAUAUCAAUAAGCGGAGGAAAAGGAAACUAACAAGGAUUCCCUUAGUAACGGCGAGUGAAGCGGGAAGAGCUCAAAUUUGAAAUCUUCAAGGUUUUACCUUGACGAAUUGUAGUUUAAAGAAGUGUUUUCUGCUGAAGUUUUGGUAAAAGUUCUUUGGAAUAGGACAUCAUAGAGGGUGAGAAUCCCGUAUUUGACCAUUAUUUUCAGCUUUGUGAUACACUUCAAAGAGUCGGAUUGUUUGGGAAUGCAGUCCAAAAUGGGUGGUAAAUUUCAUCUAAAGCUAAAUAUUGGCGAGAGACCGAUAGCGAACAAGUACCGUGAGGGAAAGAUGAAAAGAACUUUGAAAAGAGAGUUAAACAGUACGUGAAAUUGUCAAAAGGGAAGCGUUUGACACCAGUGUUGUUUUCUCGAAAAUCAAUUAAAAAUGGCUCGAUUUUGUAGUUGUUGAGACCUUAAAAGCUUACUGUACAUUUUUCGUGUCUUUUUUAAUGCACUUUUCGUUUAACAAGUCAACAUCAGUUUCUUUUGUUGUAAAAGGGUCAUUGGAAGGUGGCUUUCUUCUCGGAGAAAGUGUUUAUAGCCUUUGGCCUCUGCAAUCGAAGAGACUGAGGUCUGCAGCGUAGACUCUUCGGGGUUAGAUACAUUUGUGCUAAGUUAUAGCUUUUUAUAGACAACUUGUUGACUAUAAUUAGUCUUGUAGCUUACUCGCUUAUGCUAUUUUACCUACGCUUAGGAUGUUGAAGAUGUAGCACAUCAU